CAGUCGCCGCGGGAAUACGGAGGGCGCAAGCGUUAAUCGGAAUUACUGGGCGUAAAGCGCACGCAGGCGGUUUGUUAAGUCAGAUGUGAAAUCCCCGAGCUUAACUUGGGAACUGCAUUUGAAACUGGCAAGCUAGAGUCUUGUAGAGGGGGGUAGAAUUCCAGGUGUAGCGGUGAAAUGCGUAGAGAUCUGGAGGAAUACCGGUGGCGAAGGCGGCCCCCUGGACAAAGACUGACGCUCAGGCACGAAAGCGUGGGGAGCAAACAGGAUUAGAGACCCGAGUAGUCCCUGUCUCUUAUAC
rnacentral:rRNA from 1 species